rnacentral:rRNA from 1 species
UACCAGCACCCCGAGUAGUCGGGACGAUUAUUGGGCCUAAAGCAUCCGUAGCCGGUUCUACAAGUCUUCCGUUAAAUCCACCUGCUUAACAGAUGGGCUGCGGAAGAUACUAUAGAGCUAGGAGGCGGGAGAGGCAAGCGGUACUCGAUGGGUAGGGGUAAAAUCCGUUGAUCCAUUGAAGACCACCAGUGGCGAAGGCGGCUCGCCAGAACGCGCUCGACGGUGAGGGAUGAAAGCUGGGGGAGCAAACCGG